CCAAGCCGACGAUCGGUAGCCGGACUGAGAGGUUGAACGGCCACAUUGGGACUGAGACACGGCCCAGACUCCUACGGGAGGCAGCAGUGGGGGAUAUUGCACAAUGGAGGAAACUCUGAUGCAGCGACGCCGCGUGAGGGAAGACGGUCUUCGGAUUGUAAACCUCUGUCUUUAGGGACGAAAAAAUGACGGUACCUAAGGAGGAAGCCACGGCUAACUACGUGCCAGCAGCCGCGGUAAUACGUAGGUGGCAAGCGUUGUCCGGAAUUACUGGGUGUAAGGGGAGCGUAGGCGGGGAGACAAGUUGAAUGUUUAAACUAUCGGCUCAACUGAUAGUCGCGUUCAAAACUAUCACUCUUGAGUGCAGUGGAGGUAGGCGGAAUUCCUAGUGUAGCGGUGAAAUGCGUAGAUAUUAGGAGGAACACCAGUGGCGAAGGCGACUCUCUGGUCUGUAACUGACGCUGAGGUGCGAAAGCGUGGGUAGCGAACAGGAUUAGAUACCCUGGUAGUCCACGCCGUAAACGAUGAGUGCUAGGUGUUAAGGGGUUUCCGCCCCUUAGUGCUGCAGUUAACGCA
rnacentral:rRNA from 1 species